GACGAACGCUGGCGGCGUGCCUAAUACAUGCAAGUCGAGCGAAUGAUGAGGAGCUUGCUCCUCUGAUUUAGCGGCGGACGGGUGAGUAACACGUGGGCAACCUGCCCUGUAGACUGGGAUAACUUCGGGAAACCGGAGCUAAUACCGGAUAAUUCUUUUAGCCUCAUGGCUUUAAGCUAAAAGGCGCUUCGGCGUCACUACAGGAUGGGCCCGCGGUGCAUUAGCUAGUUGGUGGUGUAACGGCCUACCAAGGCAACGAUGCAUAGCCGACCUGAGAGGGUGAUCGGCCACAUUGGGACUGAGACACGGCCCAAACUCCUACGGGAGGCAGCAGUAGGGAAUCUUCCACAAUGGACGAAAGUCUGAUGGAGCAACGCCGCGUGAGUGAUGAAGGUUUUCGGAUCGUAAAACUCUGUUGUAAGGGAAGAACAAGUGCGUUAGGUAAUGAACGCACCUUGACGGUACCUUAUUAGAAAGCCACGGCUAACUACGUGCCAGCCGCCGCAGUAA
rnacentral:rRNA from 1 species